AUGAGGAAACUGAAGCGAAAGAAUGUUGACUAAUUUUGUCAAGGUCACACAACUGCUGAGCUGACACCCAGAGAAAUCAGAAUACUCGAAGGUCUACUAGAAAUAACAACGGAAGGAAGAAAUGAUUGGAUGAGUGUGUGUUUGUCAGCUUUGGACAGAACUGGGGCAGAGGUGCCUCUGAAGGUGAGAAGAAGACCAAGGGGAGCAGUCUGGCAGGAGACGUCCACUGGGAGAAGGUAUCACUGUGUUUAACACAAGCAUCCAGUUCCUUGGCAGCCCGAGUCUCUGUGCACUGGAACAGAUUUAAAACAAAUAUGAGAAAAAUCCUGACCCCAAGUCUGAUACUCUUUCAGCUCAUCCCAGAGCUCAGGUAUAAAAUAAGUUCAACACUGGCAACCAUCUGAUAACCACAGAGAAAUGAGACUGAGGAUAAAACUAAUCUAAAGAGGAUACCAACGAAGCUGUAACCCUCCAGUUACAUAAACCAGUGUCCUGAGGGAGAAGCUGGUGCCCUUUAUCACACAGCUAACAACGCUCCUGGCCCAUGGAUCAGAGAAGUUGAAGGAAAAUACAGAGGAAGUUCUAACAGUGGCAGACCUAAUUACUGCACCAUGCCAAGCAGGUAAUCCAGCAGGAGUGGUGACAGUUUGAGACAAGGACAAGAGCACCAGACUUCAGAACUUGACAUCCACAAAAUGUAAAUAAGAUGAAAGUUCAGCUCUGUCAUUUGACAUAUGAGUUCCGCCCUCUGCCCCUACUCCUAGCAACUCUCUGAGCCUCAGCUCUGCCUUCAGUAAGUCGUUCCUUUCCAUAAUAGGACAGUGGGAAGAUUUUUUGCUCAUAAAGAACAUGACUAUAGCUAUUGAUUUCUGGGAAAUGUUAAAACAACAAGGUUUUCAAUUCCUUUGUUGACAAGUGAAAAUAUUUUCUUUGUUAACUAAUGUUUCAGAACUGGGCUUUCUAUAUUGAAGAAAAAUUAAUGAAGAAAAAUAAAUCAAUUUUACAAAAUGUCCCUGAAAAAUUCUACCCCAAACUGUCCUGAGAUUUGCUAGUCAGCAAGCUUAACAUACAAUUUGAAAAAGAAAUAUGAGGUUGAAUCCCCAAGACAGUAAAAGAGUAGACAUCACGGGAGGACAUUAUUC
rnacentral:lncRNA from 1 species